AGCAGCCGCGGUAAUUCCAGCUCCAAUAGCGUAUAUUAAAGUUGUUGCAGUUAAAAAGCUCGUAGUUGAAUUUCGGAAUCAGUAUGUUGGUCGUGCUUCGGUACGUACUGUCAUUACUGGUUUCUACCUUCUGAAGAACCUUGAUGUCAUUAAUUUGGUGUCUUGGGGAAUCAGGGCUGUUACUUUGAAAAAAUUAGAGUGUUUAAAGCAAGCAUACGCUUGAAUACAUUAGCAUGGAAUAAUGAAAUAGGACGUUUGAUUCUAUUUUGUUGGUUUCUAGGAUCGACGUAAUGAUUAAUAGGGAUAGUUGGGGGCAUUAGUAUUCAAUUGUCAGAGGUGAAAUUCCUGGAUUUAUUGAAGACUAACUACUGCGAAAGCAUUUGCCAAGGAUGUUUUCAUUAAUCAAGAACGAGAGUUAGGGGAUCGAAGACGAUCAGAUACCGUCGUAGUCUUAACCAUAAACUAUGCCGACUAGGGAUCGGAUGAUGUUAAUUUUUAAUGA
rnacentral:rRNA from 1 species